GAGUUUGAUCGUGGCUCAGGAUGAACGCUGGCGGCGUGCCUAACACAUGCAAGUCGAACGGGAAUGACUUUCGGGUACGAUUCUAGUUGGCGCACGGGUGGAGUAACACGUAGCUUACCUGCCCCGGACCAGCGGGAUAACGGGUCGAAAGACCUGCUAAUACCGCAUAAGCUCACGCUGAAUAGGAAGGUGUGAGAAAAGAAUUUAUCGGUCCGGGGAGGGGCUGCGGCCCAUCAGAUGGUUGGUAAGGUAACGGCUUACCAAGUCAAAGACGGGUAGGGGGCCGUGAGAGGGUGACCCCCCACACUGGGACUGAGACACGGCCCAGACUCCUACGGGAGGCAGCAGUGAGGGAUAUUGCUCAAUGGGCGCAAGCCUGAAGCAGCGACGCCGCGUGGGUGAUGAAGGUCUUCGGAUCGUAAAACCCUUUUGCAGGUGACGAGGAAGGACGGUAGCCUGUGAAGAAGUGUCGGCUAACUACGUGCCAGCAGCCGCCGU
rnacentral:rRNA from 1 species